rnacentral:tRNA from 1 species
GGCCUCGUAGCUCAGCUGGAUAGAGCAACAGCCUUCUAAGCUGUGGGUCAGGGGUUCGAAUCCCUUCGGGGUCA